rnacentral:tRNA from 1 species
GGUCAGAGGAGUGGGGCACAGUUCGGCGACCUGGGGAAACAUGUCCGCCUGCGAACUGAAAAGCGGAAGGUCGGCGGUUCGAUCCCGCCCCUGGCCA